GCGACCCCAGGAUGGGCGAGUCCACCCGCUGAGUUUAAGCAUAUCAAUAAGCGGAGGAGAAGAAACUUACGAGGAUUCCCCUAGUAACGGCGAGCGAACCGGGAUUGGCUCAGCAUUGGAAUCGUGCUGCAAUCUAGCGGCUCGAAUUGUAGUCUGGAGAAGCGUCCUCAGCGACGGACCGGGCCCAAGUCCCCUGGAAAGGGGCGCCGGGGAGGGUGAGAGCCCCGUACGACCUAAACCCUGUCGCAACACGAGGCGUUGUCGGCGA
rnacentral:rRNA from 1 species